GGGCAAAUAAUAUGUUUAAAAGGAUGAUGGUAUUUUAAGUAAUAUUUCAUGGUAAUAGAAGAGCAAAUAUCAGGAGCGAUCCUCUUUUAAUAAUAUUGAUAAAAAUUAUAUCUAAAUAUAUAUACUUUGUUUAUACAAACUUAAUUAAGUUAUUAAAGUUUUUAAAUAUAAAUAAUAAUAAAAUAAAUUUAUAUAUACUAAAUGAUAAGUACAUAUAAAAAGCAGUAUCUUAGCUUUAAAGAUAUAUAGUUGUGAAUGAUAAAUAUUAAAACAUAUUUAAUAAGAAAAUGUCAAAAUAUUAUGUGUAGCAGUGCUAUAUUCAGAAACUUUAUUAUAGCAUUUUAAGAGAAAUUAAGAAAA
rnacentral:lncRNA from 1 species